GGCGCGUUCGUCAAGUUCUUCAUCGUGAAAUUUAUUGAGGGUUAAAAAGAUUUUUUUUAACGUGCAACUGAACGGCUCCUUUACGCUUCCCACAGCUGCAUGUUGCCGGGCUCCCACACCUGCUGUAAACUUGAGGUCCGAGGUGCCGCGCAGGAGGCUCUCGCUUCAAUGUGCUCUUUUCCCCCUCUGCUGUUCUCGCAAGACUUGAUCGCUUCGGGGCAUAGAUUUUUGCUCUUCUGUGUGAACACAAGCUAAAGUGGAAAUUCCCACCUGAGGUGUCAGCAUCAUCAUCAUCAUCAUGGAAAACUAUCUGGAGUAUAAUUCUUGCUAAAGUUCUUUUCAACGACUCCUUUUUCCUGAAUCCAGACUGAAUGGACCUGAUUGGAUGAAGUAUUUCUCAGUAUUGAGCCACAUGUUCCCUGUUUCCAGAACUGAGACCUUGGGGAGGUCAUUUACUCUCUGGAGGAAUGGACUUUGAACCUGAGAUAUAGGAAGUUGCAGGAAGUGACAUGACUUGUAGGCGGCGGCCAGCAUUAGUGAUCAUUGAUCAAGGAUGGUUACAUCCUGUUACUCUUAUUCAAUGAGAAGACUCGAGUGUUUUGCUUUUAAACCCUGGACAUGCUGGAAGCAGGGCCUGAGGAGAAUGAACUUCGAUGGGAAAAAGAAGAAUGGGAAAGAUGAUUUGGAGAUUGGAGCAGACAUAGAAUCCCAUAACAAGAGAAGCAAAAUAACAAAGAAGGAUCAGGGACAAAAAUUAUCUUCUAAAGGCCUAUCUAGGAUUGACCUUGUAGUUGUAGAUUGGCUAAAGUAGCAGCUAUGCUAUAUACGUAUGGAUCCAUUUAACUAUACCAAUGACUACAUUUGAUGAGGCACGAAAAGCCUUGCAGCUAAAGAAAGCUGGUGUUCUGGAG
rnacentral:lncRNA from 1 species